GUGGGUCUGAGGGCCAGAGCAAGCAGUCACCCAGCAAUCAUUUCAGAGUCGAUGUAGUAGCACCGUUUAUGGAAAUGAAGCAUCCCUGUAGACUGCCAGCAAUUGUACAAAUGAGGAAUGCUGUGGUCUGGGUACCCCUCGCAUAUAUCUGCACCAAGGUCUCAUCAUACACCCAUACCUAGGUUGGAGAGUGAGGUUGGCACUAUCCUGAAGAUUCUAGCCACACACACAGGAAAUAGAACUUGCUGCUGACUGCGUGGGCCAACAGCGAAUAAAUAACUGUUUCCUUUGGAAAA